rnacentral:lncRNA from 1 species
AUGAGACCUAACUACUGCCUGACCAUCUUUCAACUGUCCAUCUUGGCAAGACUCAGUGCAGCGAGUGGUGAGCAUGACAAUACCACAAUGAAGAAUGAAAUAAGCCAUGUUGAGACCACCACAGUUUCAUGGACAACUCUGGCGAACCCAAAACCCCCCAACACAUUAUGGCCAUUUGUGUUUCGUGCUUUUGGAAUAAAGCUGUUUUUCGUCGUAAUCAUAACUUUACACCUGUGUCUUAAAACAAAGCAAAAAUGCAAAGGUGAGGCUGAUGAUUUUUACAUCCCAUGGCUGACUGAAGCCUCAGGGUCAGUCAACACUGCACUCUGCAGCUCUAUCCUGCUGAAAGGACACAUUACAUUCAUAUGA